rfam:Cariama cristata contig86750, whole genome shotgun sequence.
ACCUGCAUUCGAAAGUGAUCGUGGUCUCACCCGUGGCCUGGUCAUUGAUAGUGCAGGGAGACGAGUGCCGAAAGCUUUCCCGUGUUUGGGGGGGUCCAUCCCCUCCCUCCCAAGCCCUGUUGCUGUCGGACA